UUAAGUUCAGCGGGUAUCCCUACCUGAUCCGAGGUCAAUCUGAGAAGUAGAUUUGGUUAAGACCGGGCCGGAGGACCGUCCAGAUGCGUGCUGCAAGGCUCGUUGCAUCCAGGGUCCCCGCGGGCUCUGCCAUUAUCUUUCGGGUCCACCGCGUAUCUCAACGGUGCGACCCAACAGCAAGCCGGGCUUGAGGGUUGAUA
rnacentral:misc_RNA from 1 species